UACAGAGGUCCCAAGCGUUACUGAGAAUCACUGGGUUUAAAGGGUGCGUAGGUGGUCCGUUAAGUCAGUUGUGAAAUCCCCGGGCUCAACCCGGGAACUGCUUCUGAUACUGGCGGACUUGAGGCCAGUAGGGGUCACUAGAACUGACGGUGGAGCGGUGAAAUGCGUAGAUAUCGUCAGGAAUGCCGGUGGUGAAGACGGGGUGACUGGGCUGGUUCUGACACUGAGGCACGGAAAGCGUGGGGAGCGAACGGG
rnacentral:rRNA from 1 species